UCCGCACUGGUGUAACGGCUAGCAUACCGAGCUUUCAUAUGUGAGCUCCUCGGAGACCGGGGUUCGACUCCCCGGUGCGGAA